AUAUCUCAAUUACAGUUUUCCAUUUCUCCUUUUUCUUUUCCGUG
rnacentral:antisense_RNA from 1 species